rnacentral:rRNA from 1 species
AACGCGAAGAACCUUACCAAGUCUUGACAUCCCGUUAAAGCAGGGGCAAUGCCCUGUACCCUUAUGGGGAGCGGAGACAGGUGGUGCAUGGUUGUCGUCAGCUCGUGUCGUGAGAUGUUGGGUUAAGUCCCGCAACGAGCGCAACCCUUAUCCUUAGUAGCCAGCGAGAGAGACGGGCACUCUAGGGAGACUGCCGGGGAUAACCCGGAGGAAGGUGGGGAUGACGUCAAAUCAUCAUGCCCCUUAUGAUUUGGGCUACACACGUGCUACAAUGGCGUAAACAAAGGGAAGCGAGCCUGCGAGGGGGAGCGAAACCCAGAAAUAACGUCCCAGUUCGGACUGCAGUCUGCAACCCGACUGCACGAAGCUGGAAUCGCUAGUAAUCGCGGAUCAGAAUCCGACGAAUA